GUUUCAUGCUUAUGUGACGUGCACUCUACCAUUAUCAGAUAUUAUAGCUGAUACUAUGAUCCUAGCAGUCAAUCAACAAACAUUACUAAACUAUAGUUUGUAAACUGAUGAAUGUCCAUGUUCAGACUUAAACGUCUAGUACAAAAACAGUUUUAAUUUAUUUCUGGAUCCUGGAUGCAACUUUCACAUUUUACAAACAUACCAUAGUACAUUACUUCAUGUGCAUAUGAUGUGGGAUGCCAAAAUAUAAUGUGCUAUGUAUUUCUGAAUGGUCAAUGGUUAAUUUUAAGAUGCCAUUGCAUUGACAUUACUGUAUAUGAAUUUUUUUGUAGGUUUCUGUGUUGUGCUACUUUGAUGUGCUAACAAGUCUAAACGGUGUGGAAAAUGUUCUCUCAAGUCAAGUAUGAAACACGGGUACAUGCUAUAUCCUUCUCACCAGUAUGUGAUACUGGUGGGGGGCUGGAUUAGACGCCGGCCACUCGUCCAUGAGGGAGGAAUCGCAUCAGAAACACGGUGGUGUAAUGGUAAAGACGGCAUAGACUGGAUGUAGUAGCUGGAGACAUGGUAGGAGUAACUGUAGAAGUGACUUUAAAUAAGCUCAAUAAAGUAACUGGAAAUACAAGGUAGGAGUACUUCCUCUGGUUUCAAGUUACUGCACGUGGUACAAAUUAGGUUUUGAAGCUUGUUUACAUUUUUUUAUAAGCUUGCUUCCAUAGUGCAUGUACAUAUUAAAUCUUUGGAUCAUAAUCUAAGUAAGUAUAAUUAUAAUAUGUAAAAGGACUCAAUGCUGUCGAACAUAGAAAUUGGAUGAGGAAAAUUCUGAGGAUCAAAAGUUAAUUGGGCUGUGUAUAGAGUUCUAUUACCUGCAUGUAAAUUAAU
rnacentral:lncRNA from 1 species